rnacentral:sRNA from 1 species
UGAUGUGAAGCCCAUCUGCCUGUGAUAUGUCAUUCCCUGGGAAGAUCCAGCUGAUCUGGCUGGCUAGACUGGUGUCCCCUCACCACUGCUCGUGUGGCCCUCCAGAAUCUACACCCUUGGAGGAAGAGGGUGGCCUUUUCCAAACAGAAGGGCCAUUCUGUGGUCAAGGGUUUGUAUGCUCUUCUGCCAGAUGUGGCCCCAUGCCCCCCACUCCCAGACCUCAGCAGAAGGGUGCUAGCCAUGGCAAGCACCACGGUGAAAAACAGAUGUGAAAAUCACUGGUGUGU